GCUUGCUUCUCUUGAGAGCGGCGGACGGGUGAGUAAUGCCUAGGAAUCUGCCUGGGAGUGGGGGAUAACGUUCGGAAACGGACGCUAAUACCGCAUACGUCCUACGGGAGAAAGCAGGGGACCUUCCGGCCUUGCGCUAUCAGAUGAGCCUAUGUCUGAUUAGCUAGUUGGUGGGGUAAUGGCUCACCAAGGCGACGAUCCGUAGCUGGUCUGAGAGGAUGAUCAGUCACACUGGAACUGAGACACCGUCCACACUCCUACGGGAGGCAGCAGUGGGGAAUAUUGGACAAUGGGCGAAAGCCUGAUCCAGCCAUGCCGCGUGUGUGAAGAAGGUCUUCGGAUUGUAAAGCACUUUAAGUUGGGAGGAAGGGUUGUAGAUUAAUACUCUGCAAUUUUGACGUUACCGACAGAAUAAGCACCGGCUAACUCUGUGCCAGCAGCCGCGGUAAUACAGAGGGUGCAAGCGUUAAUCGGAAUUACUGGGCGUAAAGCGCGCGUAGGUGGUUAGUUAAGUUGGAUGUGAAAUCCCCGGGCUCAACCUGGGAACUGCAUUCAAAACUGACUGACUAGAGUAUGGUAGAGGGUGG
rnacentral:rRNA from 1 species